AUGUUAUGCAGUGUUGAUCUAUACUUUAAUGCACCUGUGUUCACGCAUGGCCAGCUUUAUGUAGUAGUGUCGCGUGUGACCUCAAAAAAGGCUUUGAAAAUCCUGAUUGAAAAUGAAGAUCAUGGCAAGCACCAUUUUGUUGGUUCAUGUCUUGCCAAUGUCUACAGCAAUGUGUGCGUCCUCUGUCUCAUCUGUGGCAUUACCGUACGGCAACUCAUAAUGGGCCUAUCAAGCAUACUGACCUUGUGA
rnacentral:rRNA from 1 species